rnacentral:rRNA from 1 species
GCACUAGUCACCUUAUCCUCCGGCUAGCCGUUCGCGUGCAGCCGUUCUAUCUCUCGCCAAACAUUUUCUCUUGGAAGGCAUUCGUUUUCCUUUUGUCUCUUUGAGAAAAGUAUCUUCCUUGUAAGCCAUCCCGCAUCCGGGCAGUGUAAGUCAACCACUCCACUCCCGCGCGCUCCCCUCUCGCGGCUUCGGUUCUUCCGCCCGCCGCCGAUUGCUGCCGAGAUGAGGUCGCAGCUUGAUGCCGCCGCCACUGCGUCUUCGCCGCCGGCGUCCGCUCUCCGCCCCUGUCCGCCUCGGGCCCUCCUUAGGUGCACCCGGGUUUGCGCGUUCCCCGGGCGGUUCCGCGUCAGGCGCAGUGACGGGAUGAGGGUUAGCUGCUCGGCUAGCCAUCUUCCGAGCGGCAUCAAACGAGGAGGAGCAAGAGUGUUCAAAUCGGCAAAGAGAACAUGCGGAAAGGAGACGGAGUCUAAUGUGAACACGCCAACCACGUCGGAGGCAGAAAAUCACCUACACUUUCCUGUUAAGGGAAACAACAUGGUGAAUAUAGUAAGCAUCACAUUCUGCCUUCUACACAGAGUUGUUAUAGGCCAGAUGCAGUUAAUGAUGAAAUCAUUCCCCAGGAUAUCACAAAAUAUUACAAGUUUGCCAUUUGCUUGCAUAUCUGAUCCUAUUAGAACACCUGUGCCUCUUAAGCUAGAUGUGACUCUUCCACCACUGCCUGAUGUCAGAUGGAGUAUUUCACGCUUGUACUAUCUAUUCAAUACACAGCUUGACCGAAACAUUGCCUUGUCUAUUAUCACUUUGCUCGUCACAUGCUUUUCUAUUGUGUUCGUUGGAGGAUUGCUAUUUCAUAAGUUCAGGAAGAAAGAACAGCCUCUGGAGGACUGCUUAUGGGAAGCUUGGGCAUGUCUAUGUUCAUCAUCUACUCAUCUGAAACAAAGGACACGUAUUGAGCGUCUUAUUGGGUUCUUUCUUGCUAUCUGGGGUAUAUUGUUCUAUUCUCGUUUGUUAAGCGCGAUGACAGAACAAUUUAGAACCCAAAUGCAUAAGGUAAGGGAAGGAGCCCAGUUGCAGGUCCUUGAGGAGGAUCAUAUCGUUAUCUGUGGAGUCAAUAGUCAUCUGACGUCCAUAUUGAAUCAGUUGAAUAAGUUUCAGGAAUCAGCAAUUCGCCUAGGUACUGCUACAGCAAGGAAGCAGAGAAUUCUCCUUCUCUCGGAACUUCCCAGAAAGCAUAUUGAGAAGCUUGGAGAUACCAUAUCUAAAGAUUUAAAUCAUGUUGAUGUAUUCACCAAGAGUUGUAGCCUUAGCUUGACAAAAUCAUUCGAGAGAGCAGCAGCAAACAAAGCAAAGUCUAUAAUCAUCUUACCAUCAAAAAAUGAACGAUAUGAAGUGGAUACAGAUGCAUUUCUUUCUCUGUUGGCUCUCCAGUCUCUUCCACGAAUUGCAUUGGUUCCUACCAUUGUUGAGGCUUCUAACUCGACUACCAUCGAACUUCUGAAAUCAAUCACAGGCUUAAAUGUGCAACCGGUGGAGAUGGUUGCCUCUAAGUUGUUUGUGCAGUGCUCUAGGCAAAGGGGCCUUCUUAAAAUCUACAGACACUUGCUUAAUUCUCGCAAGAAUGUUUUCAACAUUUUCAGCAUUCCUGAAGUAGGAGGCAUGAAGUUUAAGGACGUGAGACUUAAAGUCCAAGAUGCAGUCGUUUGUGGUAUUUUUCGGUCUGGUGGGAUUCACUUCCACCCAGGUGACGUUGAAGUAUUGAAAGAAACAGAUAAAUUGCUUCUUAUUUCUCCUGUCUGCGGGAGGAUAAAAUCACAGUAUUCAGUUUUAAAUAUAUCUGAACGAACAGAUAAUUCAGUUAAUUACUCAGAACCAAAAGAGGGUCAAAGAUCUUCUAGUGUGGUUACUGAGCUGAAGGAAACGCGGCUAAAGAACAUUGUAGAGCGGCCGUCAAAAUCACUCUCUAAGAGCAGCGAAUGUACACUGGGACCAAGGGAAUGCAUACUUAUUGUUGGUUGGAGGCCAAAAAUUACCGAUAUGAUUCGAGAAUAUGAUAAUUACCUUGGACCUGGUAGUGUAUUGGAAAUAUUGUCAGAAACCCCUAUUACAGAGAGGACGAGUGUUGUCAACCCCCUUAUGCAGAGCCAACUUAAAAAUAUUAAAGUUACUCAUAAGGUGGGAUGUCCUAUGAACUAUGAUACUUUGAAGGAAGCGAUUAUUAACAUUAGGAAAUCUGCCAAGUGUGACAAAAAUGUUCCUCUUUCAGUCGUGGUGAUAUCCGAUAGAGACUGGCUCAUUGGAGAUACUGUACAGGCUGAUAAGCAAUUGGCAUAUACCCUUCUCCUUGCUGAAAAUAUUUGCCAGAAAAAUGACAUUAAGGUUCAGCAUCUUGUAUCAGAAAUUGUAGACACGGGGCUGGGAAAGCAAAUAACUAGAAUAAGACCCUCCCUUUCAUUUAUUGGAGCAGAGGAAGUUAUGAGUCUUGUGACGGCACAAGUUGCGGAAUGUAGUGAGCUGAAUGAAGUAUGGAAGGAUAUUCUGGAUGCUGAAGGAGAUGAGAUUUAUAUUAAGGAAGUAGGACUGUACAUGAAGGAAGGAGAGAAAAUAUCAUUCACUGAGCUGUCUGAAAGGGCAGUUUUGCGUCGUGAAGUUGCCAUUGGUUAUGUUAAGGACCAGAAGCAGCAUAUAAAUCCUACGAACAAGUUGCAGCCACUUUCUCUUGAGAUGACAGAUUCACUCAUCGUGAUAUCAGAGUUUGAAGGUGAACAACCAAUUGCGAGGGGCAGCAAAACUUCGGCAUGACAUUUUCAGCUUGCCAUUCUUCUGAAACUUUGACAGUUUUUGCUACCCAAGGAGAUGAAAUAUAGCCUGUUACUUAUCUGUUCAAAGAGAUAAAAAAUGUCAUUUGAUCAAAUAUAACUUGUCUCCAUAGCUAUAGAAAUUUUGUGGCCACUUAUAUUAUUGUAAAUGACAAUAGUUAUAUUAGAUUACCCAAUGGCAUGUUUGGUAGGCUGCAUGUGGGCCAUGCAUGCUCUGGGGAGCCCAAUUUGGCCUGUUUGGAUGUCUACUUUUACUGUGUGGCCUGCAUGGCAUAAUGUUUAAGGCUGGUCACAAUGGGGAGGAACUUAGGAGUAACAUCACACACUCCAACACAACUUUGCUUAUGUAGCACAUAUUUAAUGAAGAGAGAGGUGCUUAUGGUAACUAGCUAAGUUACCGGAACAUCACACACUCCAAGAAACAAUGAGUCUAUAACCUAAUAAAUACAUUGUUGCAUGACACUACAUAGAUGUUCCUACCCACUAUGGAGGUAGUAACAUAGUCUAGGGAAGUGUGUAAGUUACUAGCUUAGAGCAUCUCUAGUGGCUUGUGUAAAUUUGGUAGUCUAUAUCUUCACAUACACAAUGGUGUAUUUUUUUUUUCAUUUUAGACAACCUCAGUUUUUCAGUGGAUUGUCUAAAUUUGAUAGUCUAUGUCUCCAACGGCUAUAUUUUCAACAGCUACUUUUCCAACGACUAUUUUCGACGGCUAUAUUUUCAACGGCUAUAUUCCAGAAUGAUGAGUGGAAACAUUUCUUCUUUGGAUAUGCUCAUGAAUUCGUCGUCGUCUUCAUCUGACGACGACGAACUCAUUCUUGUAGCAUUCGCAGAGCGCGAGAAGGAAGAGCAGAGGAAUCGUCGACGCCAUGGCGGUUCCAAGCAUGGACAUCAGACAAUCAAUUGAGCAAGAGAUGCAGGAUUUAUUCUACUAUGGAAUGACUACUUCAAAGAGCAAGAGAUGCAGGAUUUGUUCUACUAUGGAAUGACUACUUCAAAGAAAGUCCUCGCUAUCCCGAAAACUUAUUUCGGCGAAGGUUCGUAAUUAGUACAUUUACUUAAUGUCUGCCUAUUUUUCACCUCCCUAUCUCAUUUACAUUUUUACGAAUAGGUUUAGGAUGUCCCGUAAUUUGUUUAAUCGCAUAGUUGAAACUAUACUUCAACAUGAUUAUGAUGGUUAUUUUACGCAAAAAAGAAGUGCUUGCGGACUUCUUGGGUUGCAUCCGUUGCAAAAGAUGACCGCAGCAAUGCGAAUGCUAACUUAUGGAAUAGCAGCUGAUAGUGCCGAUGACUACAUCCGGUCUGCAGAAGCUACUAAUCUAGAGGCUUGCAAGAAGUUUGUGAUCAAAAUUUGUGAAGUCUUUGGGGACCAAUACCUGAGAUCUCCAAAUGAAGAAGAUACUACAAGAUUACUUGCAAUAGGGGAGGAAAGAGGAUUCCCUAGUAUGUUAGGGAGUAUAGAUUGUAUGCACUGGGGUUGGAAAAGUUGCCUAAGAAAAUGGCAUGGCAUGUUUAAAGGUCAUGUGAAAGAGCCCACAAUGAUCUUGGAAGCAGUUGCUUCCCAAGAUCUUUGGAUUUGGCAUGCUUUCUUUGGUUUACCAGGGUCAAACAACGAUCUGAAUGUUCUUCAACGUUCUCAUGUGUUUGCAAAGCUAGCUGAAGGUGAAGCUCCAGAAGUGAAUUAUACCAUUAAUGGUCAUCAAUACACAAUGGGGUAUUACCUUGCAGAUGGCAUAUAUCCACGAUGGGCAACAUUUGUGAAGACCAUACCAUCUCCACAAACAAGAAAGAAGAAACAUUUUGCCCAAAGGCAAGAGGCGGCUAGAAAGGAUGUGGAACGAGCCUUUGGAGUUCUGCAAUCCCGUUUUGCCAUUGUUCGAGGACCUGCGAAAGGAUGGAAACGUAAAGAAAUCGGUGAUGUCAUGAAAGCUUGUGUCAUAAUGCAUAAUAUGAUAGUUGAAGACGAACGACACACUGGUUAGCAAAACAACACUUAUGAGGCAAUGGGAGAAAGAGUCAGGGUGUCCUCUACUCAUGCGGAAGAGCUGAGUGCAUUUAUUCAGAUGCAUCAGCAAAUUAGAAAUAAAGAUGAACAUUCUCAGCUUCAAGAUGAUCUGGUUGAGCACCUCUGGCAGAAGUUUGGACACGAAUGAUGUAGUACAAGUAACUUUGUAGUCUAUUUCCUUUCAUCUAGUUUUUCAUGUAUGCAUAAGAAAUAGUUGAAGUGACAAAUAGUUCAAGUCACAAAUAGUUGAAGUGACAAAUAAUUCAAGUGACAAAUAGUUCAAGUGAUAAGAAAUAGCAGACAGAACAAC